GUUAGGAAUAUUGGACAAUGGGCGCAAGCCUGAUCCAGCCAUGCCGCGUGAGUGAUGAAGGCCUUCGGGUUGUAAAGCUCUUUAGCCGAUGAUUAUAAUGACUGUAGUCGGAAAAUAAGCCCCGGCUAACUUCGUGCCAGCAGCCGCGGUAAUACGAAGGGGGCGAGCGUUAUUCGGAAUCACUGGGCGUAAAGCGUGCGUAGGCGGCUUUGCAAGUUGGGAGUGAAAGCCCAGGGCUCAACCCUGGAAUUGCUCUCAAAACUGCAAGGCUCGAAUUCGGGAGAGGAUAGCGGAAUUGUCAGUGUAGCAGUGAAAUGCGUAGAUAUUGACAGGAACACCAGUGGCGUAAGCGGCUAUCUGGACCGAUAUUGACGCUGAGGCACGAAAGCGUGGGGAUCAAACAGGAUUAGAAACCCUGGUAGUCC
rnacentral:rRNA from 1 species